rnacentral:rRNA from 1 species
UACGUAGGGUGCAAGCGUUGUCCGGAAUUAUUGGGCGUAAAGAGCUCGUAGGCGGUCUGUCGCGUCGGAUGUGAAAAUCCAGGGCUUAACCCUGGGCCUGCAUUCGAUACGGGCAGACUAGAGUUCGGUAGGGGAGACUGGAAUUCCUGGUGUAGCGGUGAAAUGCGCAGAUAUCAGGAGGAACACCGGUGGCGAAGGCGGGUCUCUGGGCCGUAACUGACGCUGAGGAGCGAAAGCAUGGGGAGCGAACAGG